AUAGUUGGCGCGCUGCUUGCUGUACAACUGCAAUCUUGACUUGGUUGACCAUCACUGGUUUUCACUUCUGGGAAAAAGUCACAUGAUGGAAUACAAGCAAUAGAAAGUAUUUGGCCACCCAUCCAAAUGAUCAGAAUCAGGUGUCCUUGUCACGGCCAGGACGCAUUCCAAUGCGCCCUCAUAUUUGCGCUCUGUUUGCCACACCUCGGGACGCGCCCACGGCCGCGUCAUGCCCACAUGGCUGUGGGCGAUCAGCAAUCAGCGCACCUGGACCUGAUGAGAGGGAGCUGUAUAAAGGACCAGUGGACCAAAGGAUUCAUGCGGGAACUUAGUUGACCUCUUUGGAUACCUGCCUUCCCGAGUCUCCCCCUUUGUUAUCUCCCGUUGUUUCCCCCGUGGUUUUUGGACUGCCUUCCUCGAUCCUCGACCCUCGCCUGUACACGAACUCUGACGCCUCUCUCUCGCCUUGGACCUUCUGCCUGCUCCAUGGACUGCCUUCCUGCCUUGUUCCUUCUCCUCGUUUCAACAUUUGGUAAGACUCAACAGCUAAUUAUUCAUACACAUAGUCUUCCACCAUACACCCCUUCUGGAUAUUAGUUCACACUCC